UCAGGAAUGGGAUCGUGCAGGGUGCUGGGGUGAUGACCCUGACCCCAGCACUGAAGGGGAGUGAAGGCAGGGCAAGAAGCAGGGUCGUCUCUGGUACCCAAGGCCCCUCCGUGCCCAAAGGAGCGACACCAGGGCGCUAUGGAGGGCAGGGCUAACAGGACAGAGGCAGGCGCUGCAGGGACUGUGAGAGGAGAGGGCGGGUGGACUGAGGACCCCACCCUGGCAGCCCCUGCCCUAGGGGAGCUCGAGGCAGCAGGAGGGCCAUGAGCCUAGGUGGGGAGAAGGUUGCUAGGGUGGAAGGUGAGCAGGCACUCUGGGGUCUCUGGUCCAACAGGUGCGAUCACAGGACGAUGGGUUUUCUACCGAGGGGGACGAGGAGAGAUCUCUGAGUCAAUGGAAGACAGGGGCCCUUUGACAGUGGGUGGCCAGGAUGCUAAUGCCCUCUCUGGUCUGCCCAAGCUCUUUGGCCCUUCAGCUCUGCCUGGCAUGGAGACCGGCCUUGGCCACCGGGAUGCCUGGGACAUGGCAGGCAUGGCAGCCCCCGGUGGGGCGCUAUGAACAGUACAUCUGGGGACAGAAGCAGGCUUGUGGACAGUGCACUGUCACUGGGCAGGCCCCAAGGCAUCUGAAGCAGGAAGUCCCCUACAGACCCCUGGGCACCAGCAUCCAACAGAGCCAGUGUCCAGUGUCCAGGACCCAGGCACCACUGGACACCAUGAACGAGGGUCCACUAAUGAGGCCUGGCCCAGAGAGCCCCCCCGUUGCCCUCCCAUGCUGAGGUGUAGGGGGACACUCUCUGAGCUAAAGGGUCAUCCUCCAGAGCAGGGGGCUGCAAGCAGCUGGGGCCAAGCCCCUCCUGGUCCUUUGGCCUAACCCUGAGAAAGAUUGGGGUUCAGUAGAACAAAAAGCGCCCCAGCCACCAUGGGGAGAGGACCCCAGGACCGUUUUCCCUGACAGCCAGCUCUGGACUGUCCAUCAGGGUGUCCAGGUCAACAGAGGACCAAAGCGUGGGGCUGUGUGGCCUCCUGUGUGGGGAGAGGAUGCCUGAGGCAGAGGGCAGGCCCCCAGGGUCUGGCGAGAGUUGGGCCUAACUGAUCAGCUCCAGCUGGCGUUUGGCUGGAUAGAUAGGGAUGCAGACUCUGUCUUCCUCCUGGAAGGAUUCAGGCUGAGCAGGCCUCAACAUCUUUAAUUCAAGCUCCAGGGGGCAGGGCAGCCGCCUGCCAGGGCUGCUGGGGAGAUGGACCCGGGAGACAGCCAUGGCCAGAGCAGGAGGAGCCACCCACAGGAGGUGGCUCAGGCUGCAGGCAGGACUUGGGAAGGGAAGGACAGGUUGUCUCAGGACAGGCCUGCAGCAGGAGCUGGGAGCUGGGGUGCCCACCCUGUCACACCCAGCCUGCCCUGCCUGCCCCUUAACCGCAUUCCUAAGCUCCACACCACGGCCAGGCAGCGGGCAGUGUGGAGGCUGAGGAGGGAGGAGUGCGGCAGCCGUGGAAGCCCAGCCAGGGGCUCUCCUCACCCACACGGCUCAUCCUGGCCCUCCCCAGCGAGAUCAAGAUCACAAAGGCAGCCCCCGCCCUCCUCUGGGGUUCGCCUGGACCCGAACCCAGCCCUGCACCCAGGAAGAAAGCUCAGCCCGGCUGGCUGGCGUCCCUGCCCCUCCCUCCUGCGGGUGGACAGCACCGCUGCCAGCUGAGGUGGCCAUGAUGAAAAAUGAAGAGAAAGAGGUGAAACUAAUUUGAAUCAUAGAUUUUAUUUAACCCAAUAUAUCCACCCAAUAUAUCCCAAUAUUUAAUCCAACAUUUCCCCACGCAGGAAGCAUUCCAGCCUCUGGCUGGGCGCCAUCAGGAUGCUGUCAGGGCGGGAGUGGGGUCUGAGGGGGAAGCACGUCCUGGAGCCCGCCUGGUGGGGUGAGGCCCCUCUUUAGAGCCCCUCUCUGCAGACCACACCUCCGGCCCUCAGAGCCCUCCCACCCGCAGCCUGCCCUGCCUGCCCCUUAACCGCAUUCCUAAGCUCCACACCCACGGCCAGGCAGUGUGUGGGGGCUGAGGAGGGAGGAGUGCGGCAGCCUCGGAAGCCCAGCCAGAGGCUCUCCUCGCCACCCACGCAGCUCAUUGGGACUCCAGGCACGGAGCUCCCGGGGGGGCAGGAGGCCAGUGGCAGGCGGGGGCUGCUGUCAGCGUGAGGAUACGCUGCUCCCGGCUGCGGCUGUGGCCUAGCGCCAACUCCACUCGGUCCCUGCCCCCACCCUCUCUCCCCUUUGCUUACCUGCAGGUGGCUUUGGUGACUGGGGAAUGGCCCAAGUGCUGCCAUUGCAGAGAUGGGGAAACUGAGGUGAGAGGAGGGAAAGCCGAGGACUCUGCAGGGACCUGCAUCCAGCAUCUUCGGGGAGCCAGUCCCUGGUGUCACCGUGUGAAUCUGACCAUGCCAUGGGCGGUAGCUCUGACCACCCCGUUUCACUGUGGGGAGGCAGAGGCCCGGCAUGGGGAGGAUGUGUGGCCAGCUCCCUCCCGCAGAGGUCAAAGGGGAGGUCAAAGGGGAGACAGCAGGGACAGAGCCCAGGCCAUUGUGAUGGAGGCAACCUGGCCAAAGAUUACAGGGGUUGGGGCCCACAGCAGUGACAGCAGGGGGUGGUAGUGACAGGGCUGUGCCCUGAGUGGGGACACUGGAUGCAGGGCAGGGAUGGGUGUCUGACAGCUCUCCCUCCUCUGGACCCCGUGAUUCCAACCACAAGACUUCAAGGACCCUUCACAAACACCCCCCUCUCCCCGCCAACAAACCUGCUCCCCUGCCCAGGCCUGAGACCCGUCUAUCAAGGAUGCUGCAAGGACCUCAGCCUGGUUCCCAUAGCAACGCCCGGAUGGUGGGGGAGGGGAGAAGAAUGGAAAUGCAGAGACACCAAAUAAAGAACAACAACCUCAUAAAAUGAGCAGUCAGGGAAAGGGCCACGGAGGGAUGGCCCCGACCCAGGCUGAGGAGGCCCCAGCAGGCACAGCCUCCAUCACCAGUCAUGUAAACAGCACUGGCAGGUGCCAGCCACUGCACAGGGCCUGAGACACAGAGGCCAAGGAGGCAGCCCCCAAGGCUGGUACACAGGGGCCUGGGAAGGGCUGCCAGACUCCAACAGUGAGUCCCUGGUUAGUCCCCUAGGUCUCAGCUCUAGAGCGGUGAGCAGACAGGCAACCCUGCCCACCUAGCACUGACCUGCCCCUCUCCAUGACCGUCCCACGGGAGGGGCUGAUCGCGUGAGACCUUAUGUGACCCAUGUGUCAGCCCUACAUCAGCCCCAGGGGGAGGCACCCUUAUCUUCCUGUUUCACCAGUGAGGAGGCUGAGGCUCCGAGAGGCCACACAGUCGAGUGAAGGGGAAGUGCCACAGCCAGGCGGGCCCGGGAAUCUGCACCGUGCAGGGAUGCUGGACAGGCGAGUCUGGCAUGGAGCAGGCAGCGUGGAGGCUGUGCUGGUCCCCUACUGCCACCGAGCAAGCAACCACAAAUGCAGGGGCUCAGACAGCACGCCUUUCUCGCCUCAUGGCUCUGGGGGUCAGGAGCCCAGCCCUGGGGCUCACUGGGCUAAAAUCGAGACGUCUGCAACCUGCGUUCCCCUGGGAGGUUUGAGGGGAGUGUCCUCUUGCAGCCACAGCAGGACCAGUCGUGGUCGCCUAGCAGCACCCGGCCUGCUUCAUGCCCACACCCUGUCUGACUCGCCUCCCUCCUCAUAGAUCCUUCGGUCACCCUGGGCCACACAGAUGAUCCAGGACAACCUCCACAUGUCAAGGUCCGCUGAGGAGUAGCUCGAGUUCCCUGCGCCCAGGAGCCUAACGUGCCUCCCUCCCCACCAGAAAGGACCUAGAACCCCCACCCACGCCCCGUCUGUGCUUCAUAGGGAGGCCCCGGACAGCAACGGAUUCGCCUGCAGGAAUGAGGAGGCGGCUGGGCCCCAUGUCCGGGGAGAACAUGUGAACGGAGGAGGCUCCUGGACCAACACCCUCAUCCACCACGCCCACUCCCAGGGCGUAGGUCCCAUCGUCCCCAGGUCCCCUGAGUGUGGAGAGACAUACUGACAUUUUCCAGCAGGAUUGCACCAGGCACCAUGGCAAAACAGGCAAGAUAAUUACGGGGGAUAAGAGAAGCUAAAAAUAGCCUCCUUCCCAGCCCAGACUCUUGGCAGGGAAGAUGCCAGAUGAACUUGCAGGAGCCCAAGACCUGGGCCCCCAGGCAGGGGCAGCCUGCAGCAGCACCCCUCACCAGGGAGCAUCCGGCAGCGCCAAGGCUGAAGAGAAGAGUCAGGGAUGCCCAAGACAUAGCAGCGACACCAGGGGUGGGGUGCAGGGAGGAGAGACAAGGGCACGGCUUCGGAGGAUGAGCGGGAGCUCACAGGCAGUGGCUGUUCCCAGAAGAAGGGCUGGAGCAGCUUCAUGGGUUCCAGGGGGCCAUCCAGAGGUAGGCAAAGGUGGUGCCAGAGAUCACCUUGAGGGCCUCAGGCCUGGCCCUCCCUCCAAGCUGGAGGAAUAGUUGGGAACCGUCUGCAGGGCUCCCCCACCCCUGGUAGACACCCUGGGCUGAGUAGCUGCUGCCUCUGGGUGCAGCCGUGGAGCAUCCCGCAGCACCUGUAACUGGCCCCACGUCAAGGCUGUGUACUGGGUGGUGGCUCAGAGAAAGGACAGCGGCCGGACCGACCCUGCUCUUUCUGGCUGAACCCCAGCUCCCAAUGUGGCUCCUCCCAGCCCGACACUUCCCCUCAGGGUCAGAGCCAGGUGUCAGUGGGACCCAGCCAUGGACAUGGGAAGGGACUCAGGACCAGACAGUGGAGGAGGGGACAGGGCCAGGUGCUGGGGGAGGGGAUACCCACCAGCCCCCGUUCUGUCCAGGGCUGAGCUGAGAAGGAGGCUGAGCUCAGAGGUCACUGAGGCAGGGCCUGUGCCUGAACCCCAGGGCUCGGGGAAGAAGGUGGUCA